UACGGGGGGGGUAAGCGUUGUUCGGAAUUACUGGGCGUAAAGGGCUCGUAGGCGGCCAACUAAGUCAGACGUGAAAUCCCUCAGCUUAACUGGGGAACUGCGUCUGAUACUGGAUGGCUUGGAUCCGGAAGAGGGAUGCGGAAUUCCAGGUGUAGCGGUGAAAUGCGUAGAUAUCUGGAGGAACACCGGUGGCGAAGGCGGCAUCCUGGACCGGUAUUGACGCUGAGGAGCGAAAGCCAGGGGAGCAAACGGG
rnacentral:rRNA from 1 species